UGGUCAGGUAAUGGCUGCAAGGUCUCAGACC
rnacentral:piRNA from 1 species